rnacentral:lncRNA from 1 species
ACCGAGCAUUUUUCACGAACUCCUGCAGCUAUGUAUGUACAAGCCUGUUGAUAAUUUUCGCCAUAGAAACGAUACUUAUACUGUUCUGUUCCUAGAUAAUGCUGGCUUGCCUUGGGUGAUGGGGCGUAGCCGCGGAGCUUCAGCUGGGCGCGGUGGCACCUCGCGCCGUGCAGCGAAUCGUAUGUGAACACAAUUCAGAAAGCCGCCCCGAAUCGGACUCCCAAUCAGACUCUCAAUUGGACUACAUGUGAACACACCCUUAUCACUAUCGCCACCGCCGACAUCAUUAUUGCUGAUUUGUACUGCCUACCGUCAUGCGAAGUAAUAGCGCGUCAAUUUUUAGCAAUAGCGAUAAACAUCAGAAGCUACGGAGCUAACAACAUACCAAAAAAACGCACAAAGCUGGACACCCUACGCGCCCGAAAAGCAUUGUUAAAACUUUGGCACCGCAACGAGGCAGCUGCCUCCCAAAUCGCUCAGACUGAAAGCCCCUGCGUUACAGCGGCGGAUGCUGGCUCGGUAACAUCAUCCUGCCAAGAGCCACAUGCAACCAACUUCCAGCACACCAACGUGAUCGAGACCUAUCAAGGUCGAUAAUCCUUCCUAUGGUGGAAGGUAUUGCGCCCCUAGUUGAUGGACAGUGGUGACCUGGGAUAAAGUUAACCUGCGAGCCGACCAGGAAUGGAGUCAUGCCUAGCGAUACCGCCACUAGCACUAUGAAAUGUGCUUCAAUUAGAUGGGCUAACUAUAUGGUGCUAGUGUUCUAUAUUCUCCACUGCACUCUAUUCGAUGGGUCUCGCUGACGAGCCGAAGGCACAACGAUGGGACCCAUUUUGUUGAUCAGCGCGCGCUGAACAACAAAAACAUGAUAAGGUAACCAGCGUAAUGCGCGCUACAAAUGACGGCCCUGAGGAUGCGAUUGUUACAGUGGACCCCGAACGGGUCGACUGCAGCGCCCCCUAGGAACGCAUCCCGCACAACAUUGUAGGCAUUAUUCAAAAAGAACUCGGCCAGGCCGUACUAACUUCACUGGACACAAGGCCUCAGUUAGUAUAGCCCUCAAACCUCAUCAUUGGACAUCAGUAAGCGGCAAACAACCUUGCCUGCGUCGUUGAGAUAUAAGAAAGGGUGGUUGUGAGGCACGUGUCCCCAACGUUUUGGCAAGUUAUCCCGUGCCGCAAAAGCAGUUAAACGGGCCCAAAAGUCAGAGAUAACAUAACAUCGUCAGUAAUGCGGUUAAGCGUUGACGUAGAUACGGUCAUGUUGGCCUGGAGACCUUCCCUAAACAGCAAACGGCGACCGAGAUUGAGUGAGCUGAUGGCCGCGAGGCAUACAACCUCCCACACACACCCAAAAACUGAGGUCGGUGGAAUGCCCAGCCACAAGUUAACCCGGAUAGAUCAGGAAACUGAGGAAACAGCCCUGAGGACACGGGCCGUGCGAAACAGAUAGACAAACAUAUACUGGGCCUUACGCCCAAUUAACUCAGCUUACUUAACGCAGUGAAGACAUGGGUAAGGCCUGGCCGAAAUACUACAGUGGCCUCCAGUACUGUAAGGGGAAUGGGAAGCGUAAGCUGACUUUACUAACCGAGAUACUGGCGUUUGCACAGAGUAUCGAUAUCUCAUCUCAGGUAUCUUCAAUCUCA